rnacentral:rRNA from 1 species
UUGGGCGUAAGCGAGCGCAGGCGGUUAGAAAAGUCUGAAGUGAAAGGCAGUGGCUCAACCAUUGUAGGCUUUGGAAACUGUUUAACUUGAGUGCAGAAGGGGAGAGUGGAAUUCCAUGUGUAGCGGUGAAAUGCGUAGAUAUAUGGAGGAACACCGGUGGCGAAAGCGGCUCUCUGGUCUGUCACUGACGCUGAGGCUCGAAAGCGUGGGGAGCGGACAGGAUUAGAUACCCUGGUAGUCCACGCCGUAAACGAUGAGUGCUAGGUGUUGGGUCCUUUCCGGGGCUCAGUGCCGCAGCUAACGCAUUAAGCACUCCGCCUGGGGAGUACGACCGCAAGGUUGAAACUCAAAGGAAUUGACGGGGGCCCGCACAAGCGGUGGAGCAUGUGGUUUAAUUCGAAGCAACGCGAAGAACCUUACCAGGUCUUGACAUCCCAGUGACCACCCUAGAGAUAGGGUUUCCCUUCGGGGCACUGGUGACAGGUGGUGCAUGGUUGUCGUCAGCUCGUGUCGUGAGAUGUUGGGUUAAGUCCCGCAACGAGCGCAACCCUUAUUGUUAGUUGCCAUCAUUGAGUUGGGCACUCUAGCGAGACUGCCGGUAAUAAACCGGAGGAAGGUGGGGAUGACGU